UACGUAGGUGGCGAGCGUUGUUCGGAUUUACUGGGCGUAAAGGGCGCGUAGGCGGCCUCUGCAAGUCGACUGUGAAAUCUCCGGGCUUAACCCGGAACGGUCAGCCGAUACUGCAGGGCUAGAGUGCAGAAGGGGCAACUGGAAUUCUCGGUGUAGCGGUGAAAUGCGUAGAUAUCGAGAGGAACACCUGAGGUGAAGACGGGUUGCUGGGCUGACACUGACGCUGAGGCGCGAAAGCCAGGGGAGCAAACGGG
rnacentral:rRNA from 1 species